AUAUCUUUCAUUUAAUAAUUUGACUGGUAAUAUUCCAAGCUUUAGUAAUAAUAUUAAAUUGAUGCACCUAGACCUUUCAAACAAUAAUUUAUCAGGCAACAUUCCAGAUUUUAGUAAAAAUCGUAAUAUGAGAACAUUAAAUGUUGCAUAUAAUAAUCUAUCGGGUGAUCUUCCAAGUUUUAAUAAUAAUCGAGCGUUGUGUUUGUUAUAUCUGCAUAAUAACAGAGGUUUUACUUAUAAUUGUCCUGAUUUUAAAAAUCUAAUUAAUGUCCAGGACAAUCAAAUGAAAUAUUGCAACUUGGGUAAAAUCGUAUUCUCUAAAGGCUGUUGGAUUACUGAUACGUACUUUGAUAAAUGUGAACUUCGUGCUGUUCUAUCAAACGCAAAGUCUCUAUACUAUAUUAGUAUAGUUCAGCUAUUAGCUAUGCCACUUGUGUUAUUUUUUAUAUGAUGUAAAGCUAUGAUUUAAAAUAGCAUAUAUAAAA